AACGAAUCCCACCUGGGUAACUGGGUGGGGGAAGUGGCGAAAGGGGCAGUAAGGCGUGGGUAACUUGCCUCGGGGAUGGGGAUAGCCCUCCUAACGGAGGGGUAAUACCCAGCGAUCUGGCGGAGGGGCAUCCUUCUGCCAGGAAACGAAUCUCGCCUCGAGAGGGGCCCACGUGGUAUUAUGCUAGUUGGUGAGGUAACGGCUCACCAAGGCCAAGAUGCCUAGCAGGUGUGAGAGCACGACCUGCGCCACUGGCACUGGGACACUGGCCAGACUCCUACGGGAGGCUGCAGUCGAGGAUCUUCGGCAAUGGGCGCAAGCCUGACCGAGCGACGCCGCGUGUGCGAUGAAGGCCUUCGGGUUGUAAAGCACUGUCGAGGGGGAGAAAAGCCCGCAAGGGUCUGAUCUAUCCCUGGAGGAAGCACGGGCUAAGUUCGUGCCAGCAGCCGCGGUAAGACGAACCGUGCGAACGUUGUUCGGAAUCACUGGGCUUAAAGGGCGCGUAGGCGGGCGGUCAAGUCUGUGGUGAAAUCCUUCGGCUCAACCGGAGAAUAGCUGGAGAUACUGGCCGUCUCGAGGGGGGUAGGGGCAUGUGGAACUUCCGGUGGAGCGGUGAAAUGCGUAGAUAUCGGAAGGAACGCCGGUGGCGAAAGCGACGUGCUGGACCCUUUCUGACGCUGAGGCGCGAAAGCCAGGGGAGCAAACGGGAUUAGAUACCCCGGUAGUCCUGGC
rnacentral:rRNA from 1 species